AGCAGCCGCGGUAAUUCCAGCUCCAAUAGCGUAUAUUAAAGUUGUUGCAGUUAAAAAGCUCGUAGUUGAAUUUCGGGAUCAAUUAAUUGGUCGUGCCUCUGGUACGUACUGAUUUUAUUGGUUUCUCCCUUCUGAAGAAUCAUGAUGUCAUUAAUUUGGUGUCGUGGAGAAUCAGGACUGUUACUUUGAAAAAAUUAGAGUGUUUAAAGCAAGCUAACGCUUGAAUACAUUAGCAUGGAAUAAUGAAAUAGGACGUUUGAUCCUAUUUUGUUGGUUUCUAGGAUCGACGUAAUGAUUAAUAGGGAUAGUUGGGGGCAUUAGUAUUCAAUUGUCAGAGGUGAAAUUCUUGGAUUUAUUGAAGACUAACUACUGCGAAAGCAUUUGCCAAGGAUGUUUUCAUUAAUCAAGAGCGAAAGUUAGGGGAUCGAAGACGAUCAGAUACCGUCGUAGUCUUAACCAUAAACUAUGCCGACUAGGGAUCGGAUGAUGUUAAUUUUUUAAUGACUCAUUCGGCGCCUUA
rnacentral:rRNA from 1 species